rnacentral:rRNA from 1 species
GAUGAACGCUGGCGGCGUGCCUAAUACAUGCAAGUCGAGCGAACGGACGAGAAGCUUGCUUCUCUGAUGUUAGCGGCGGACGGGUGAGUAACACGUGGAUAACCUACCUAUAAGACUGGGAUAACUUCGGGAAACCGGAGCUAAUACCGGAUGAUAUUUUGAACCGCAUGGUUCAAAAGUGAAAGACGGUCUUGCUGUCACUUAUAGAUGGAUCCGCGCUGCAUUAGCUAGUUGGUAAGGUAACGGCUUACCAAGGCAACGAUGCAUAGCCGACUUGAGAGGGUGAUAGGCCACACUGGAACUGAGACACGGUCCAGACUCCUACGGGAGGCAGCAGUAGGGAAUCUUCCGCAAUGGGCGAAAGCCUGACGGAGCAACGCCGCGUGAGUGAUGAAGGUCUUCGGAUCGUAAAACUCUGUUAUUAGGGAAGAACAUAUGUGUAAGUAACUGUGCACAUCUUGACGGUACCUAAUCAGAAAGCCACGGCUAACUACGUG